GACGAACGCUGGCGGCGUGCUUAACACAUGCAAGUCGAACGGAAAGGCCCUGCUUUUGUGGGGUGCUCGAGUGGCGAACGGGUGAGUAACACGUGAGUAACCUGCCCUUGACUUUGGGAUAACUUCAGGAAACUGGGGCUAAUACCGGAUAGGAGAUCCGGCUGCAUGGUGGGGGUUGGAAAGUUUCGGCGGUUGGGGAUGGACUCGCGGCUUAUCAGCUUGUUGGUGGGGUAGUGGCUUACCAAGGCUUUGACGGGUAGCCGGCCUGAGAGGGUGACCGGCCACAUUGGGACUGAGAUACGGCCCAGACUCCUACGGGAGGCAGCAGUGGGGAAUAUUGCACAAUGGGGCGAAGCGUGAUGCAGCAACGCCGCGUGCGGGAUGACGGCCUUCGGGUUGUAAACCGCUUUCGCCUGUGACGAAGCGUGAGUGACGGUAAUGGGUAAAGAAGCCCCGGCUAACUACGUG
rnacentral:rRNA from 1 species